rnacentral:lncRNA from 1 species
AUCUUGAAUAUUAUUAUAGAUAGAGAUAAACUGUAAACAGCAAUAAUGUUCAGCAAAGUAUGAUCCACAAAUAAGUCAACAAGACCAAAAAGGUCAGUUGACCCCUUAAGGAGUUAUUGCCUUUUAUAGUCAAUUUUUAAUAAUUUUGUAAAUUUUGUAAAUUUUUGUAAAUUUUAACAAAAUAUUUUCCUCUGUAACUAAUGGGCCAAGUUCAUUAUAAAUUGAGAUAAUUCUAAGAAGCAAGAAUGUUCAGUAAAGUAAGAUCUACAAACACAUCACCA